AUUGAACGCUGGCGGCAGGCUUACCACAUGCAAGUCGAGCGGGGUGAUGGUGCUUGCACUAUCACUUAGCGGCGGACGGGUGAGUAAUGCUUAGGAAUCUGCCUAUUAGUGGGGGACAACAUCUCGAAAGGGAUGCUAAUACCGCAUACGUCCUACGGGAGAAAGCAGGGGAUCACUUGCGACCUUGCGCUAAUAGAUGAGCCUAAGUCGGAUUAGCUAGUUGGUGGGGUAAAGGCCUGCCAAGGCGACGAUCUGUAGCGGGUCUGAGAGGAUGAGACGCCACACUGGGACUGAGACACGGCCCAGACGCCUACGGGAGGCAGCAGUGGGGAAUAUUGGACAAUGGGGGGAACCCUGAUCCAGCCAUGCCGCGUGUGUGAAGAAGGCCUUAUGGUUGUAAAGCACUUUAAGCGAGGAGGAGGCUCUUUUGGUUAAUACCCAAGAUGAGUGGACGUUACUCGCAGAAUAAGCACCGGCUAACUCUGUGCCAGCCGCCGCGGUAA
rnacentral:rRNA from 1 species